rnacentral:rRNA from 1 species
GACGAACCGUGCGAACGUUGUUCGGAAUCACUGGGCUUAAAGGGCGCGUAGGCGGGUCACCAAGUCCGGGGUGAAAUCUUUCGGCUUAACCGGAAAACUGCCUUGGAUACUGGUGAUCUCGAGGGAGGUAGGGGUCUGUGGAACUUCUGGUGGAGCGGUGAAAUGCGUUGAUAUCAGAAGGAACGCCGGUGGCGAAAGCGACGGACUGGACCUCCACUGACGCUGAGGCGCGAAAGCUAGGGGGGAGCAAACGGG